CCGCGCGGCUCAGGAAGGACAAGUAGGACGCUAAGGCGAGCAAACGCUCCCACGCAGAGGCUGUGGGAAAAUGACUCAGAGCUGCCUUAGUCCCCCUGCCCCGGGCCCGCGCAGCCCGGGGGAUGGGGGCGCCAGAGCCGGGCGCAGGUGUGCGCGGGCAGGGGGGACGCGGGCUCUCCCAGGCAGCGACUGCGCAGUGUGACACUGAGUCCCUGGGCCUUAGUCAGGGUCUGCACCAAGGAAGAGCCCUGAGUGCACCGCCUCCUCCACACGUGGUCUCAUCUCUCCUUUAAUCUUCAAGGCCACACUCUGAGAACGCUUCUCAAGGGCUCAAUAUCAUUCAUUUCCAUUUAUCCUUUUCCUAACCUAGCAUCUGGAAAUUGGUAAGCAUACAGAAUAUGGAUGAUAAAGGAAUGGAUGGAUGGUCGAUGGAUGGAUGGACGGAGUCGAUGAAAGAAAUAACGACUGGAAGGAUGAAUGGGUGAGGGUGAGGAAGCACUGUCCAGCCUGUCCUUUGCUUGAAUCCAUGGAGCAGCUAUUAGAGGAAUCUAAAGGUAAAUGGUAGCAGACAGAUUGGUGAAGAAAACCAGAUUUAGAUGUUCCAUCCAACCCGCUGCCAUUUAGCCCAGAGGCAGCUGCAGCCACAGGAAGUGUGUGCAGAGGGAAGUAACUAAAGACCCAGUUUUCUGGACAAAGGAUCAAAGGAGGAACUUCAGGGACCUGGAAAGUAAUGCGAAGACUAUACAGUGGGUGGAACGUGGGAAGGAGACCCUAUAAAAUUGUUUGUGAACUCCUGGGCUCACCUUUGAUCUGUGCAAGCAUUCUAAACAGCUUCCCAAAGCCUGAGAACUGACUCCACCACCCACACGUAGAGCACACACAUGGGACAGAUCUGAAGAGUACUGCAGAAACUGAACUGAUAUUGGAACCACGGAUCGUGGAAGAUGGAUGGGAAUUUGCAGUCUGGAACCUAACCCAGUCAUUGGACUGCCAAAAAUAUUAAGUUUUCCACAGGAGAAAGACAUAAAUCUAUAGACUCAAAAGCUCAAAGAACCCAAUCCCCAUCCAGACAUGUCAUAAUUAAUUGUCUGAAAAUUAAGGACAAUGAGAAAUCCUAAAAGUAGCUACAUAUAGGGGAAUAAAGAUUUGAAUGACUGAGGUUUAUUAGCAGAAACUAUGGAGGCCAGAAGAAAAGGAAAUAAACAACAGUUUUGAAUUGCUGAAAGAAAAGUACUGUCAGAAUUCUAUU